rnacentral:rRNA from 1 species
UACGUAGGGUGCAAGCGUUAAUCGGAAUUACUGGGCGUAAAGCGUGCGCAGGCGGCUUUGCAAGACAGAUGUGAAAUCCCCGGGCUCAACCUGGGAACUGCAUUUGUGACUGCAUGGCUAGAGUGCGGCAGAGGGGGAUGGAAUUCCGCGUGUAGCAGUGAAAUGCGUAGAUAUGCGGAGGAACACCGAUGGCGAAGGCAAUCCCCUGGGCCUGCACUGGACGCUCAUGCACGAAAGCGUGGGGAGCAAACAGG